UUGUGGAGGAGGACGCCGAAGGUGGGGCUAAUGACUGGGGUGAAGUCGUAACAAGGUAGCCGUACCGGAAGGUGCGGCUGGAUCACCUCCUAACAGGGAGACAACAAAAUGUUUAAUAUUAUUAUUUUGUCACCUUAGGUCGAUCGGUACCUCACGUUCUUGAUUUAUUAAGAAUUUCAUAUCCUAAGUUUUUCUAGGUCACACCCAUUAUUUUUCCUGGGCCAUUAGCUCAGGUGGUUAGAGCGCACCCCUGAUAAGGGUGAGGUCCCUGGUUCAAGUCCUGGAUGGCCCAUAUCUCUAUGUUGGGGGUAUAGCUCAGUUGGUAGAGCGCCUGCUUUGCAAGCAGGAUGUCAGCGGUUCGAGUCCGCUUACCUCCACUGAUUACCACCUCUUCCAUAAUCGGUAGAAAGGAAAUGUUUUGAGUUGUGAUCAAAUUCUGAACGAAUCUAGCUUCCUAAUGUAAUUAUUAAGAUGCUGGACUCAUUGAAUUAAUUUCAUUGUUUUCAGAGAACCUUGACAACUGCAUAGAUUAUUUUUAAAGACAAUAAGCAUUUUUAAUGAUGCAGAUUUAUUAUUUUUGCUAAUGCAUUAAUAACAAUUCUAUUAAGCUGAUGCUUCAAUUAUGAAGUUAUUGGUCAAGCUACAA
rnacentral:misc_RNA from 1 species